rnacentral:rRNA from 1 species
AUUGAACGCUGGCGGCAUGCCUUACACAUGCAAGUCGAACGGCAGCACGGGUGCUUGCACCUGGUGGCGAGUGGCGAACGGGUGAGUAAUACAUCGGAACGUACCUUAUCGUGGGGGAUAACGCAGCGAAAGCUGUGCUAAUACCGCAUACGCCCUGAGGGGGAAAGCGGGGGAUCGCAAGACCUCGCGCGAUUAGAGCGGCCGAUGCCUGAUUAGCUUGUUGGUGGGGUAAAAGCCCACCAAGGCGACGAUCAGUAGCUGGUCUGAGAGGACGAUCAGCCACACUGGGACGGAGACACGGCCCAGACUCCUACGGGGGGCAGCAGUGGGGAAUUUUGGACAAUGGGGGCAACCCUGAUCCAGCAAUGCCGCGUGAGUGAAGAAGGCCUUCGGGUUGUAAAGCUCUUUUGUUAGGGAAGAAACACCGGCUCUAACACAGUCCGGGAAUGACGGUACCUGAAGAAUAAGCACCGGCUAACUACGUGCCAGCAGCCGCCGCCG